rnacentral:lncRNA from 1 species
UUUAGAUCUGCAGAACAUCUGCAGUAUUUUGUGUUGUUUUCCUUUGUGUUUUUGACAACCAUUGCUCCAGUGCACCAGCUGUCACUUGCUGAUAAUCUGAUGCAUUUGUUACAUGAUUAUUAGAAACUAAAUACUAUAUGUCAUGACUUCAGUCUUGCUAUUAUAUCUGUAUCAGAGUCUUAUACUCCACAAAUUAUGCAGUUCUCAAAUGUGAGCUUUUAGAAACUGAGGUCAUUUGAAAAACCUGCAUUUUAUGGGGACUUUUUGUUGUUCUUUUUCCACUGAGAAGCUGUUGAAGCAUAUUUCCUUCCAGAGAAAUCCUACCAAAGCAAAAUUACAGUAUGGCUCACUUUUAAAUUUCACAGCAAAGUAGCACUUAAGGCUUAUUGCAGUGCAUUAGAUUUAAAACCAAUUAAGUACAAUGCUAAAUCAGUGUAAACCACAUUUCUGAAUUUAUCUAAAACAUAAUGAAUAACAUCUGCAAAGAAAAGAUUUAUACUGAGCAGCAAAACAAAAUGUGUUGACAAUUUCAGCAGCUUUCAUUGCCUUAUGUCAUAUGUCUUCAUUAUUUGGUAAAGCUUCACUAUAAUCCUUCUUUGUUAGAACAGUAAAAGGGAAAAGAAAAACCCAAAUCGCAACACAUUUCGGUAGAUUCUUCCUCAUUUCAUUUCCUCUUCUCGGCAAACGUGCAUCUUAUUUACCUCAGGAGCUUCUCCAUUUUGAAAUCUAUUCAGUAUUUGAGAAGGAUCACCUUUUUUGAAGAGUGUUGAAGAAGCAAGAAUAAUCUUCUGUCCUCUGAUGGACACUUCUAGUACUGUCAUCUCCAGAAAACCAGCUUUCAGUAGGAUCACCUGUUCCACUUAUCUUCCUAGAUGACAACAGGAAGAAAGUUUGGCAAAAGAAAUCAGAAGUUUCCAGUGCUCUUGAAAGGACCAAAUACCACCUCAACAGAGCUGAAACUCCUCACCAAACAUGGAAUCAUGUGCUAUUUUUAAUGGGCAUGCCAUCUGAAGCUGUCGCAAAAGUCCGUGCCAAUAUUGCCCCAAUGAACAGAGAGGUAAUGUAGCUUUAAUUUUAACUUCAAUUAUAUCCAGGAAGAUUAAUUGUUGGGGGUAAAUCCUGGUGUGGAGCCAAAAG